GGAGAGGAAUCUUACCUCUGAUACCGAGAUAGGUAGAUGUGAUGUUUACUUAAGAGCCCAUACAAGCAAGGACAAAGUUGUCUAGUAUCCUGACCUUGUUGAAGAAUUAGAUGAGCUUUAUUCUAGCAAUCCUUCUUCUAAGAUUACCGGCAUUGACGAUGCCCUUACACAGUUGGUUGGUUCUGAUAGUAGAGGGCGAAUGCGGGGUUUAGGUUGCUCAAUAACUAAGACAGGACUGAAGAUGUUAGCCCCUGCACAUUCAAAGGUAGAGAAUUUGAUAAAAGAAAAAGAUGGCCUAGUGCAAGAGAUAUUUGAUAUAAAGAAAUCAUUGGCCACUAUGGAGGCCUGGAUGGAGUUGCAGCAACAUACACAAUCUACUCAAAACCUCUCAUCACCAACAAUUGUUAAAUCUGCUCAGGCAUCGUCACCGGAUGUUAUAUAUAUCGGUAGGAGAUGCGACUUGCUUGGUUGGGGAAAUCGUGAUGUAGUUGCUCGUGGUCAAGUACACGAAGUUAAUCCAAAUGCAGUUGUCCAUUGCGAACCAUUAGAGGAGGGAGCUAUUGUUGUUACCUUGACUGAGAUUAUACAUCCUGACACUCUUUUGUGGAAAGAAGAUGGGUUCGCAUCUACACUUGGAGAGGCCGGUCCAGGAUCACUUGUGCAAUGGGGGAAGGAAUCUUUGAGAUUUCGAUAAUUUGAACAAAUUUGGUACUCUAUAAUUGAACUUGGUGUGGAUGCUUUUUUCAGUUACUUUAUAUGAUAUUUCGCUUGUUUUUUUUGGUUAAUUUUGAACUAAUUUGGCACUUUAGUUACUUUAUAUUGAUGAACUUAGAACUUGGUUUGAUUUUUAGUUACUUUAUAUUGAUGUUUCGUUAGUUUUUUUUUAUUACUCUAUAUGUUGUUUGGUUUGGUUUUUGUAAUUUUGAAUGAAUUUUAUACUCUGUAUUUAAACAUAUUAGACUCCAUUUGCUCGUCACAAACCAAAUGGAGCCUAAGCCCCUUUUUAACUCCGCCAAUGCAACUCCUUGCAUUGCCGGUCCCAAGCCCGGGUAAAGGAGGGAGAAUGGGCAUCAAGGUGAGUUGUGUACUUUU